rnacentral:rRNA from 1 species
AUUGAACGCUGGCGGCAUGCCUUACACAUGCAAGUCGAACGGCAGCACGGGUGCUUGCACCUGGUGGCGAGUGGCGAACGGGUGAGUAAUACAUCGGAACAUGUCCUGUAGUGGGGGAUAGCCCGGCGAAAGCCGGAUUAAUACCGCAUACGAUCUACGGAUGAAAGCGGGGGACCUUCGGGCCUCGCGCUAUAGGGUUGGCCGAUGGCUGAUUAGCUAGUUGGUUGGGUAAAGGCCUACCAAGGCGACGAUCAGUAGCUGGUCUGAGAGGACGACCAGCCAAACGUGGACCGGGGCACGGGCCAGACUCCUAAGGGGGGGAGGAGUGGGGAAUUUUGGACAAUGGGCGGAAGCCUUGUCCAAGAAUGGCGCGGGGGUGGAGGAGGCCUUCCGGGUUUAAAACACUUUUGUCCGGAAAGAAAUCCUUGGCCCUAAUACGGUCGGGGGAUGACGGUACCGGAAGAAUAAGCACCGGCUAACUACGUG